rnacentral:misc_RNA from 1 species
AAGUUCCAUCUGCAUGAUGGUGGCUCAUCAGUAGGAUUAACAGUUUUAAGUACUGUGGGAAAAUGAUCACUCCCGCACAGGUCAUCAUGGACUGACCAUGCAAAUUCGUUAUACAAGUUUGAGUCUGUGAGUGACAGAUCGAGGGCAGAAUAAGUUCCAGUGGCUGGAUGUAAAUAUGUUGCAGAAUCAUCAUUAAAAAUACACAGGUUGUUGUCAGAAAUAAAUUCCUCAAUGAUUUUUCCUUUAGAACUGGUAUUUGCACUUCCCCAAAGCGGGUUGUGUCCGUUCAGAUCACCCAUGAUGAUGCAGGGCUUUGGGAGCUGGUCAUACAGAUUUUGAAGAUCAGACUGUCGAAGAUCAGAAGAAGGAGGGAUAUACAAAGAGCACAGCGUAAAAGCAAUGUGCAGAGUCAGACGAACAGCAACAGUUUGAAGAUUGGUAUUUAGGGGGACAGGACUAUGUAUUAUCCCCUGUCGCACCAAGAUAGAAGAGCCUCCCGUUGCUUUAUCUCCUGGAGGAGAAAAUGAAUGAUAGUCAUUGUACUGUCGUAAGGUGAACUGAUCUGUAGUUUUCAGCUUGUCGUGUCUUGGCGUUUUAUAUCGAGAAGACAGUAGCCGGUGGCAUUUAUCUCGUGAGGAAAGACCUCAGAGGCAAAGGAAUCGGACGUGAUGUGAACCUUCAAUCACUCAAGGCAGUCGGUGACGCCAACAUCGUCAUAUCAGCUACCUUCGUUAACAUUUACGACACCCAUGGCUUCACUUUCUACUAUGACGUACACCAAAAACGUGGGCCAGCGGAAGUCAUACUGGGGGCAAUUCCUGAUGAAGAAGCGAGUCCGGAAAUCAGCAUAGUCCCCUUCGAAGGCUCCAUGUUUACUGAGUUGAAGGCGUACGACGAGAAUGUAUGUGAGAGCGAGAGGGAUUACUUCUUCAAGAACUGGAUCAUCAAUCGUGCAAAACAUAUUCUUAUUGCUCGUUUACAUUCCGGUCGUGUAGUAGGAUAUGGCUGUUUGGGUGUAACAGAAUACAGCAAUGAGAUUGCACCUUUAUAUGCUGAUAGCGACUUCAUCGCAUGGGCUCUGUUGAAAGGACUCUUGCAACACUUGAAUCCAAAGGACACUGUCCAGAUGUUUGUUAUCUCAGAAAACAAAGCAAUGAUGGGGAUUAUAGGCAAACUUCCUCUCGCAAAUGUAUUUACGCUUCAUAAAAUGUACACUAAAAAGCGAGUACCCGAAACCCUUGAGCGGUUGUAUUCCUUAUCUGCGAUUUCAUUAUCCGUCAUAUGAUGCAAAGUGCCCCUUAAGCAUGAAAUUAAUGGGUUGCUGAAGACCUAUUCUAGCUCGGAUCUUCACGGGUCUGCAAUAAACAACAACAAUUUAGUGUGUGAAAAAUUGAAAUGAUAUCUUUGCAUUAUAUUUCAUUAUAUAACCAAUUACAAGUAUAACCAUUGCAAAUAUAUUUCACAGCCAAUGAGAUGUCUUUGUAAAUGACGAUUCUUAACAGAUUGUAUGGAUGAUAGUUCCGACUUUCGUAAGUCGAUGUGAAUGUGAAGAGACAUUUAUUUCAAUGCUUCAACGAAUUAAAGGCAUACAUACAGAGUGAAUAAUUCAGUAUAUUUGCUUCACAAUGUCAGAAAACAUAUAAUCAGCAGCUAAAUAAAAUACUCAAUCCUCAUGUUCAAUUGUUUACAUCAACAAUAUUCCACAUGACAGUUCGAAUAGACAUACGGCAACCUCAACUUUUGUGAGAGAAUAUAUGAGACUUAUAAACAGACAUAUAUACAUGUAGCACUAUUUGAAUAAAAAAAAAUCUGAAUCAAAA